rnacentral:misc_RNA from 1 species
GAUAACUUUGUGGGGAAACAGAUGAGAUACAUACUCAUCUUUUGUUGCAUUGUAUAUUCAUCGCGCAGUUAUGGAAUGUAUUUUUUACUCUCACAGACUGCAGAUCUGCUGAGUUGUGCUGGAUAAGAAGAGGUGAAAGCUAGAGUCAGAAGAGAUGGCGGAAAAUCAUUCCUCAUUGCAUCAAGGGGACUAUGUGGAGAGAGAGAGAGAGAGAAAUAGAUGAGAAAAGAGAU